rnacentral:rRNA from 1 species
UACGUAGGUCCCGAGCGUUAUCCGGAUUUAUUGGGCGUAAAGCGAGCGCAGGCGGCUAGUUAAGUUUAAGGUGAAAGGGUGUGGCUUAACCCCAGUAUGCUUUGGAUACUGUUUAACUUGAGUGCAGGAGAGGAGAGUGGAAUUCCAUGUGUAGCGGUGAAAUGCGUAGAUAUAUGGAGGAACACCGGUGGCGAAAGCGGCUCCCUGGACUGUGACUGACGCUGAUGCUCGAAAGCGUGGGGAGCAAACAGG